rnacentral:rRNA from 1 species
CUCANCGAUGCACCAAGGAUUAUGAUCAUGGCUCAGAUUAGCCCGCGGGGUAACGGCCUAACACAUGCAAGUCGAGCGGAUGACGGGAGCUUGCUCCUAUGAUUCAGCGGCGGACGGGUGAGUAAUGCCUAGGAAUCUGCCUGGUAGUGGGGGACAACGUUCGAAAGGAACGCUAAUACCGCAUACGUCCUAAGGGAGAAAGCAGGGUGACCUUCGGGCCUUGCGCUAUCAGAUGAGCCUAGGUCGGAUUAGCUUGUUGGUGAGGUAAUGGCUCACCAAGGCGACGAUACCGUAACUGGUCUGAGAGGAUGAUCAGUACACACUGGAACUGAGACACGGUCCAGACUACCUACGGGAGGCAGCAGUGGGGAAUAUUGCACAAUGGGCGCAAGCCUGAUGCAGCCAUGCCGCGUGUAUGAAGAAGGCCUUACGGGUUGUAAAGUACUUUCAGCGAGGAGGAAGGCAUUANAUGGUUAAUAACCUUAGUGAUUGACGUUACUCGCAGAAGAAGCACCGGCUAACUCCGUGCCAGCAGCCGCGGUAAUACGGAGGGUGCAAGCGUUAAUCGGAAUUACUGGGCGUAAAAGCGCACGCAGGCGGUACUGUCACAGUCGGGAUAGUGAAAAUCCCCGGGGCUCAACCUNGGGAAACUGCAUUCCGAACCUGGCAGGGCUAA